AAAUUGAAGAGUUUGAUCAUGGCUCAGAUUGAACGCUGGCGGCAGGCCUAACACAUGCAAGUCGAACGGUAACAGAAAGCAGCUUGCUGCUUUGCUGACGAGUGGCGGACGGGUGAGUAAUGUCUGGGAAACUGCCUGGUGGAGGGGGAUAACUACUGGAAACGGUAGCUAAUACCGCAUAAUGUCGCAAGACCAAAGAGGGGGACCUUCGGGCCUCUUGCCAUCGGAUGUGCCCAGAUGGGAUUAGCUUGUUGGUGGGGUAACGGCU
rnacentral:rRNA from 1 species